rnacentral:rRNA from 1 species
UACGGGGGGGGCAAGCGUUGUUCGGAAUUACUGGGCGUAAAGGGCUCGUAGGCGGCCAACUAAGUCAGACGUGAAAUCCCUCGGCUUAACCGGGGAACUGCGUCUGAUACUGGAUGGCUUGAGUUCGGGAGAGGGAUGUGGAAUUCCAGGUGUAGCGGUGAAAUGCGUAGAUAUCAGGAGGAACACCUGUGGUGUAGACAGCUUACUGGACCACGACUGACGCUGAGACACGAAAGCGUGGGUAGCAAACAGG